rnacentral:rRNA from 1 species
GAUGAACGCUGGCGGCGUGCUUAACACAUGCAAGUCGAACGGAAAGGCCCUGCUUUUGUGGGGCGCUCGAGUGGCGAACGGGUGAGUAACACGUGAGUAACCUGCCCCUGACUUUGGGAUAACUUCAGGAAACUGGGGCUAAUAUCGGAUAGGAGCUCCUGCUGCAUGGUGGGGGUUGGUGAGUUUCGGCGGUUUUGGCUGGACUCGCGGGUUAUCAGCUUGUUGGUGGGGUAGUGGUUUACCAAGGCUUUGACGGGUAGCCGGCCUGAGAGGUUGACCGGGCACAAGGGGACUGAGGUACGGCGCAGACGGCUACGGGAGGCAGCAGGGGGGAAUAUUGCACAAUGGGCGGAAGCGAGAGGCAGAAACCCCGCGUGCGUGAUGACGGGCUACGGGUGGUAAACCGCUGUCGCCGGAGACGAAGCGUGAGUGACGGUAAUGGGUAAAGAAGCACCGGCUAACUACGUG